AUUGAACGCUGGCGGCAUGCUUUACACAUGCAAGUCGAACGGCAGCACAGGGAGCUUGCUCCUGGGUGGCGAGUGGCGCACGGGUGAGUAAUACAUCGGAACGUGUCCUAUUGUGGAGGAUAACUGCUCGAAAGGGUGGCUAAUACCGCAUAAGACCUGAGGGUGAAAGCGGGGGAUCGCAAGACCUCGCGCAAUUGGAGCGGCCGAUGCCCGAUUAGCUAGUUGGUGGGGUAAUGGCCUACCAAGGCGACGAUCGGUAGCUGGUCUGAGAGGACGACCAGCCACACUGGGACUGAGACACGGCCCAG
rnacentral:rRNA from 1 species